rnacentral:rRNA from 1 species
UGAGGAAUAUUGGUCAAUGGGCGAGAGCCUGAACCAGCCAAGUAGCGUGAAGGAUGACUGCCCUAUGGGUUGUAAACUUCUUUUAUAAAGGAAUAAAGUCGGGUAUGGAUACCCGUUUGCAUGUACUUUAUGAAUAAGG